GACUUUGACUUUUCCUUUCUUGUCCAAGAA
rnacentral:piRNA from 1 species